GACUGACUUGAUAAAAAAAUGACAGCCGUCGGACACACACACGCACACGCCGUCGCCACACACACCACUGACACACUCUCUCAUCUUGCUCCCGGACAAGCAGCGCCUCCGCCCUCCCCACUGCAUCCCGCCGCCGGCACAGGGACCCUCCCUUGCUGCGCGCUGCUUCGGCAGGGACUGCCCCUCUGCCUCCCCACUCCCCAUGGCUGCUGAGACGGCCGCCCUUCUCUUGCCUCUCCACCUCCGUCCGCGGAGGCGCAGACUUCCUCUCCACCAGAUCCUCGGUCGUGGACUCGACAUGAGAGCUGGAGGGCUCCCCUACGCCUACCUCCUCCUCCCGUGGGACAAGACGCAGAAUCGGAGCAAGCGCCGAGGAGCGCCGGCUAGGACGCCGUGCUCCGAUGGGUUGGGCGUGUUGCGAGCCUCACCGUGGCCAAGUACCACAUGCUCCAGAGUGGAUGGUCGAUGCCCUCCCCACCUGGCCACCUCACGCGUGACUGGUAUUUCGUCAUCCUGCCUCUGCUCGAUUCGGCUCCGUCCGAUGGCGGUGCUUGCGCCUUGACGCCGCGCCUCGCACGAUGGCCGCCAGAAGCCUAUGCCUUGGCCGCUUUAGCUAUUGUGCGUAAGCGUGAUCUAAUAAUCAGAAAUGUUUUGAUGUAAUCCAUUGCUCAUGCAAUUCUAUAGUCUGUGGAAACUGCUCUUUUACACUGGUACAAUUGCAGUCUUAAGUUGGAACUUAUUUGUAGUUUAUUCAGUGACUACAUAAUAUCUCUAUAUAAUGCCAUACCAAUAAGGCAUAUUUGAUUAGUCUUGCUUGGUCUGAACAUUCUUAAAUGUAAUUCAGGAUGCUCUAGCUAAUCUUUUUUCUCAUUUCUGACAAGAUGCAUUGUUGUUUAUCUGAACAACAGUUUCGUGGCAUGAAAAAGAACAUAUAUAUAACAAUGCAUUCCAUGGGGCUGCAGUACUGGAAAAUUUCCUGAUCGUUGAGGCAACCAACAUGGAUUUGCAUAGCUUCUGUAACUCAAAUGAAUGCUAUGUAAAUAAUAUUUUUUUCGUCUAACUAUUAUCAAAAUGCAUGCAGGUUUAGCUCUGACAGAAUCAAGUCAAUCAACUACGGGACAUAUUUUUGUGUACACUUCUUGUGCAUAUGUGAAGGGAAGCAAGCUUGGAUUCACUGGAUGAUGUAUACACACCAAGUGCACCUCGCUUUCAUAAUAGCAAGCAACCUCAUAUUGAGAUUCUUCUAAUUACGGUACUCCUAAUAAUUGAAUAUGUGGGGAGAGUCAGUGUUCCAUGAAACCAGAUUGCUUUCCUUGCUACAGAGUAUGAGCCACCUAGGUUUGUUUCCCGUCAGCUAACUUCCUACACCAAGCCGGCGGCUUGAUGUUGAGGUAAAGUCUUAAAGAAAAUUCUGAUCGAAGUUUGUACCUGAUCAAAGUUUGCUGGCUUGGUGGCGAGGGCGUCAACAUGGCGACGGCGGUAGCCCGCGCUCGCA